UACAGAGGUCUCGAGCGUUGUUCGGAUUCAUUGGGCGUAAAGGGUGCGUAGGUGGCGCUGUAAGUCGGGUGUGAAAUCCUGAGGCUUAACCUCGGAACUGCAUUCGAUACUGCGGCGCUUGAGGACUGGAGAGGAGACUGGAAUUCAUGGUGUAGCAGUGAAAUGCGUAGAGAUCAUGAGGAAGACCAGUGGCGAAGGCGGGUCUCUGGACCGAUACUGACGCUGAGGAGCGAAAGCGUGGGGGAGCGAACAGG
rnacentral:rRNA from 1 species